UGCCAGCAGCCGCGGUAAUACGGAGGGAGCGAACGUUGUUCGGAUUAACUGGGCGUAAAGGGCGUGUAGGCGGUCUAGCAAGUCAGGGGUGAAAUGUCUCGGCUCAACCGAGGACCUGCCUUUGAAACUGCUGGACUUGAGGUCGUGAGAGGAGACUGGAAUUCCUAGUGUAGCGGUGAAAUGCAUAGAUAUUAGGAAGAACACCAGUGGCGAAGGCGAGUCUCUGGCACGAUUCUGACGCUGAUGCGCGAAAGCUAGGGGAGCGAACGGGAUUAGAUA
rnacentral:rRNA from 1 species